rnacentral:rRNA from 1 species
UACGGAGGAUCCAAGCGUUAUCCGGAAUCAUUGGGUUUAAAGGGUCCGUAGGCGGUUUAGUAAGUCAGUGGUGAAAGCCCAUCGCUCAACGGUGGAACGGCCAUUGAUACUGCUAGACUUGAAUUAUUAGGAAGUAACUAGAAUAUGUAGUGUAGCGGUGAAAUGCUUAGAGAUUACAUGGAAUACCAAUUGCGAAGGCAGGUUACUACUAAUAUAUUGACGCUGAUGGACGAAAGCGUGGGGAGCGAACAGG